rnacentral:tRNA from 1 species
GCGGCUGUGAUGUAGCCUGGCAGCAUAGGAGACUGUGGAUCUUCUUGGGCGAGUUCAAAUCUCGCCAGUCGCC